GAUGAACGCUGGCGGCGCGCCUAAUACAUGCAAGUCGAGCGAACAGACGAGGAGCUUGCUCCUCUGACGUUAGCGGAGGACGGGAGAGUAACACGAGGAUAACGUACCUAUAAGAGUGGGAAAAAUACGGGAAACGGGAGAAAAUAGGGGAGAAUAUAUUGAAGCGCAGGGGUCAAUAGAGAAAGACGGUUUUGGGGGAAGGAAUAGAUGGAUACCAGCCGGAUUAGCUAGUUGGUAAGGUAACGGCUUACCAAGGGAACGAGGCGUAGGCGACCUCAGAGGGUGAUCGGCCACCCUGGAACUUAGACACGGUCCAUACUCCUACGGUAGGCAGCAGUCUGCAAUCUUCCGCAAUGGUCGAAAGCCUUACGGAGCAACGCCGCGUGAGUGAUGAAGGUCUUCGGAUCGUAAUACUCUGUUAUUAGUGAAGAACAAAUGUGUAAGUAACUAUGCACGUCUUGACGGUACCUAAUCAGAAAGCCACGGCUAACUACGUG
rnacentral:rRNA from 1 species